rnacentral:rRNA from 1 species
GACAGAGGUCCCGAGCGUUGCUCGGAAUCACUGGGCGUAAAGGGUGCGUAGGCGGGUCUUUAAGUCAGGGGGGAAAUCCUGGAGCUCAACUCCAGAACUGCCUUUGAUACUGAAGAUCUUGAGUUCGGGAGAGGUGAGUGGAACUGCGAGUGUAGAGGUGAAAUUCGUAGAUAUUCGCAAGAACACCAGUGGCGAAGGCGGCUCACUGGCCCGAUACUGACGCUGAUGCACGAAAGCGUGGGGAGCAAACAGG